UACGUAGGGCGCAAGCGCUGUCCGGAAUUAUUGGGCGUAAAGAGCUCGUAGGCGGCCUGUUGCGUCGGCUGUGAAAACCCGGGGCUCAACCCCGGGCCUGCAGUCGAUACGGGCAGGCUAGAGUCCGGUAGGGGAGACUGGAAUUCCUGGUGUAGCGGUGAAAUGCGCAGAUAUCAGGAGGAACACCGGUGGCGAAGGCGGGUCUCUGGGCCGGAACUGACGCUAAGGAGCGAAAGCGUGGGGAGCGAACAGG
rnacentral:rRNA from 1 species